CAGCAGCCGCCGCGGGAAUACGAAGGGGGCUAGCGUUGUUCGGAUUUACUGGGCGUAAAGCGCACGUAGGCGGACUUUUAAGUCAGGGGUGAAAUCCCGGGGCUCAACCCCGGAACUGCCUUUGAUACUGGGAGUCUUGAGUUCGAGAGAGGUGAGUGGAAUUGCGAGUGUAGAGGUGAAAUUCGUAGAUAUUCGCAGGAACACCAGUGGCGAAGGCGGCUCACUGGCUCGAUACUGACGCUGAGGUGCGAAAGCGUGGGGAGCAAACAGGAUUAGAUACCCCCGUAGUCCCUGUCUCUUAUAC
rnacentral:rRNA from 1 species